ACAGUCUUGAGAAGAACCGGCGAAACAAACUCAGCAGCCUUUUUUUUUGUUUUUUUUCUCAAUUUUUUUUUUUUUCAUAGUGCGAUCUGAUAUACAUUUUCCUUUUAAAGUUUUGUAUGCCUGUCCUAAGUUACGUUUUAUUUUUUCUCUUUUUAUAGUACGCAUACUCUUUUUUGGAGACACAUUACGAUUCAUUGAAAUUUCAUCACAAGUAGGUACUUGAACUUGAUGUGAUUGGAAGUCUCGGUAAUUCAUAACAUGGAUCUCGUACAAAAUCAUCACUAGAGAAGUCAAGUACAGAAUAGUAUGUUAAACUACUGACUUGACUGGAUGAUGUUGACGGUAUAGGAUCGUCUACUACUAGGUUCUCUGUGUUCAAAAUCGACUGUUGACUUACAUUUUCUAAAAAAGGACAAGACAAUUAUCUAUUUAUAAUGAUAUAAUAUUGAUAUAAUUACGUAAUUUGCAAAUCAUAAUUUAGAAGAUAUGUGAAAAUAUACCUUCAUUGCUUUCCAGAUGAGUGGAUAACGCCAUUUCAACUAAUUUCUUGCCUCUUUGAAUAUUCAUCUUAAAUAAUUAAAAUACUUAAGCACUCACACACAACUAACCAACAAACUGUGCACAAUCGACAACAUUAGUAAAUUAAAACCACUUACCGAAGUAUUGUUUACGUUAUAAAUAUUUUUAAGUAACCACUUUCUCUAAAGAAAUGUUACAUUUUGAUGUUCUUUAUAACAUAAGUCAAACUUCUUACGUUAAUAACUUUGUACUUAUGGUGUUCCUUAGAACAUAAGUCCAGUUAUGUUUUUUAGUUCGUUUGAUUAUAUUAGGAUUUGAUAAGGUUGAUACAGAACGCCGCUUGAAUACGCCAUGAAAUACUUGAGUUUGAUUUAUGUGCUUUAGUCAGAUUGUGUGUUGAGCAAAAUGUAAACCGAUGAUGUAAUAAAAAAUAAAUUGAAAAUUUUGACUUAUGUGCUUUAGUCUGCCGACCCUAGAUAUAAUCUUCAAUUUAAAUGAUAAUGAAUUUAUUUCUACUAGUGUAAAUAACUAUACAGGUUUUCAGUCUGUCAGGUGCAAAGUAGUUAUCAUGAACUGCCACAAUCUUAAUAGAAGAGCUCACUACAACGUGAGUUCUAAAUCAUGAUGAAGUAGGUUUUGAACCACUUAAACCCAACAAUCCUGUGUGGUUACUCCUAUCUAUAACAAUUGAAAAUUACACUAAUGAAUGAUUAUCAAUUAUUAUACUCAUACCAAUUGUUAGAAAACAAUAGAACCACAACUUAUGAAAAUCCAAACGAAAUGAAUCAACGUAGACUAUCAAGUAAAUAUAAUUUAUCCAAGUAAAGGUUGUGAUCACAAAAAUAUAGAUAUAUGUGUGUAUAUUGUGAUCUAAUAAAUAAAAUAAUAAUGACUGCCUUAUUUUCAAAUUAAUUUUGAGGCUAAAAAUUGUUUCUAAAAAAGCGAUAUAUCAAUGUUUCACAUCUAAUCUUUUUAUUUCUGACUGCCUACAUUGUACUUGGUGUUACCUUCUGAGUUACAACACUAUAAUUAUACCACGAUUUAUAAUAUUACGGUUUUACAUAACAAUAAAACCGAUAUUAUGUGCCGAGAAGGAAAACAUACAGCAUUGUAUUAUGAAGAAGCAGUGUGUACUUAGCUUAAAUUCCUUGUCUAUGUCCAACCAUAGACAGUCAAUUUAGUUCCAUCUUUAGCCGCUAGGUGCUGCCAGCAAGUAUAAAGGAAGCGCAGCCAUCUUUGAUCUUCAUAGUCUUCACCAGGAAGAACUUCCUGCAAUGCUGUAUGUUUUCCUUCUCGGCACAUAAUAUCGGUUUUAUUGUUAUGUAAAACCGUAAUAUUGAUGUGCCUUUGGAAAACAUACAGCAUUGUAUUAUGAAGACGUGUUUGUUAUCUGCUGGUGAAAUUAUUAAGCACAACGCUAUGAUGAAAUAGAAAGUCGACAGCGCUGCUUUAUGCAGAAGGAUUGUUUUACAGGCAAAAUUUUCUUUUUGGAAAAGAAAACAGAAUUUGGCAACAUCUGCAGACUUAGGAUCAAUUUUAAAACUGUAGCACCAUAUGCACCAUCUUCUAGUUGCUGGUAAGUAUGCUGGCAAAGUGGAUUGACACCAGCAAAUUUUCAAUAACUCUUCUCCUGUGUAGAC